GCACCCCUUGUGUGACGUAGGGGAGUUCCUGUGCCACGAUGGUGUCACUUGUGUAUCCUGGCACUGGCUGUGUGACGGGGAGCCCGACUGUCCCGACGAUUCUGAUGAGUCCUUAGACACCUGUCCUGAGGAAUCGGAUUUCAAGUGCAGCCCGAAUUUCAUCAGCUGCAUUGGUACCAACAAAUGCAUCCACUUGUCCCAGCUCUGCAACGGGGUCUACGACUGCUCCGACGGCUACGACGAAGGGGUGCAUUGCAGGGGUGAGUGAAAAAUGCUUAAACCUCAGUUCUAAAUUCAAAAAGAACCAGAAUUUACUCCUUGGGAAUACAGAUACGUAUAUACAGGUGCCUGAAUAUAUGUAAAACAACCAAAAGUGAACUGAUAGAAGCAUAUUUUAAUAUGUGUUUCAAGGUAAUUUAAAAAAUAUACGUAUUUUUUGUGUGAAUGAAAUGCAAGUAAUAAGCAUACAGAGAUUUUCAGGCUUUUGCUGCAUUAAUUACUGAGCUGAUAUGAUGGAAAAUCUUCUAUCAAAAAAGGAUGAGGAAGCUCUUUACUGAGCCAAAGUUAGGCAGCACACUGUUUGCCAGGAUGAUUUUUCUUUUUCUUAUAACUUCUGCCCAAAAAAAAAAAAAAAAAAAAAGCUAAAGAAAA